rnacentral:snRNA from 1 species
AAACCUUAUCUGUUCUUAUCAGUUCUUAUCAGUUUAAUAUCUGAUACGUCCCCUAUCUGGGGACCAUAUAUUAAAUGGAUUUAUGGAACAGGGAGAUGGAAGAAGAGCUUGCUCUGUCCACUCCACGCAUCGACCUGGUAUUGCAGUACCUCCAGGACCGGUGCACUUCUC